rnacentral:SRP_RNA from 1 species
GCCAGGCCUGGUGGUGCAUGCCUGUAAUCCCAGCUACUUGGGAGGCUGAGGCAGGAGAAUCGCUUGAAUCCAGGAAGCAGAGGUUGCAGUGUGCCAAGAUCGCACCACUGAACUCCAGCCUGGGUGACAGAGUGAGAUUCUGUCUCAA